AGUAAUAUAAUUUAAGGGGAAAAUUGUUAUUUCAUAUGUAAGAUAUAAAGGUUCGAAUCCUUUUAUUACUU
rnacentral:tRNA from 1 species